GCUAGUGUCGCGUUUGUUGUUGUUACAGCGUGAAACGAGGCUCCUGUGCUUCCUGUGAUUUCAUAUACUAAAUUGAACUUCGUAACUUAUAUGAAUACUGUCAGUCAUUCCAACAUGUUGACUUAGCACUCAGUCACUUUCCAUCGGAUUAGACCCUCAUGAUUU